GUGGGGAAUUUUGGACAAUGGGCGCAAGCCUGAUCCAGCCAUGCCGCGUGCAGGAAGACGCAUCUAUGGUGUGUAAACUGCUUUUGUACGGGAAGAAACACUCCCUCGUGAGGGAGCUUGACGGUACCGUAAGAAUAAGGAUCGGCUAACUCCGUGCCAGCAGCCGCGGUAAUACGGAGGAUCCAAGCGUUAUCCGGAAUCAUUGGGUUUAAAGGGUCCGUAGGCGGUUUAAUAAGUCAGUGGUGAAAGCCCAUCGCUCAACGAUGGAACGGCCAUUGAUACUGUUAGACUUGAAUUACAAGGAAGUAACUAGAAUAUGUAGUGUAGCGGUGAAAUGCUUAGAUAUUACAUGGAAUACCAAUUGCGAAGGCAGGUUACUACUUGUGGAUUGACGCUGAUGGACGAAAGCGUGGGGAGCGAAAAGGAUUAGAUACCCGUGUAGUCC
rnacentral:rRNA from 1 species